rnacentral:snRNA from 1 species
AUACUUACCUGGCAGGGGAGAUACCAUGAUCACGAGGGUGGUUUUCCCAGGGCGAGGCUUACCCAUUGCACUCCGGAUAUGCUGACCCCUGUGAUUUCCCCAAAUGCAGGAAACUCGACUGCAUAAUUUGUGGUAGUGGGGGACUGCAUUCGCACUGUCCCCUG